rnacentral:lncRNA from 1 species
UUCGUUCAUAUUUCUUUCACCGAAAUAAGAAAAGAAAAAGGGGUUUUAAAGAUUUUGUACAUUCGGCCAUGGUCCAAGCUUGAUUCAAGGUUCGUUUUUGCUCGGUUUUUGAUAAUUUUUACGUUUUUGAGAUCGUUGCUUUGUGUUUUAGCUAGCCCAUGCAUUAAUUUUAUGAAUGGAUUAUGAAUUUGAGAUUUUCCAUUGUUGAUAACUUGAUGAUUUUUGUGUUUGAUGAUGAAAAAUAAAUAUAUAUUGUUAGAUUGUCAAGUUUAAUUAAGUGAUUUUUAGUAAAAAUGCCUAUUUAGGAUUAAAUAGAGAAUUUUGUAAAUUUAAGGGUCAAAAUGUGAAAUAAAUGAAAGGUAUGGACUUAUAUGAACUAUUUGUAUAUUCGGACAAGCAUGGGAAAUAUGAAAUUUUGUGUAUUUUGUGAUUUUAUGAAAUAGGGACUAAAAUGUCAAAAAUGUGAAAUUUUAAGGGCUAAAGUGUAAAAUGCCCUAAUUAUGUGUUUGUGGUUUGAAUUGAAUGAAAUGUGUUAUUAAAUAGCCAAAUUUGAAUUUAUAUAGAUCAAGAAUAAAAGAAAUUGGAAUUAGAUCGGGGAAAGUCGAAAGUGGUCGAGUUGUCGAUUCCAUCCGUUCGUUUCCAUACGAGAUAAGUUUGAAAGUGAAUAAAUGAUGUUAAAUUGUAUGUAUUUAUUUUGUACAUAGUCGAAUAGAAUUGUAAGUAUAUAUAACUACAUUGCCAAAUUGAAUUUAGCAUGGAAUGAUUUAUUAUGAGCUUGAAUCAAUCGAAUUACGAUGUCCGAAAGUCCCGAACGAACCAUAGGAAUAGUUAGGAUACAUAUGUCAUGACAUAGGAUUCCGAUAUGUGAUUUCGUGUAAGACCACGUCUGGGACGUUGGCAUUGAUUUGAGAUUUAUGUGUAAGACCUUGUUUGGGACAGUGGCAUCGAUAUUUGAUUUCGUCUAGGACAUUGGUAUUGUAUGAGCUUUUUGAGCUAUCCGAGUAUCCUUAUUGAUUCCGAAUGGUUUAGCAGGCAAUGUUGAGUUAAGAUCGAAUGUGAAAUCGAGCUAAAUGGUUCAGGUACGUGUGAAGUUAAGUGUUCAUGAAAAUAAGGUAAGUAUAGUACUUGAGAUAAUGAUAUAAUUAUGCAUGUUAAAAGAGUGAUUUAUGUGUAUAUGAGAUAGUUUAUAUUCGGCCAAGUUAAAAUUAUAACGCUAAUGUUUAUUUGAUGAUUUAUUUGCUUAUGACUUACUAAGCUAUCCAAGCUUAUUGUGUGUUUGUAUGUUCGUUGUUUUAUAGAUUUUGAAAGUUGGUUACAAGCUCGAGGAUCGUCAAGGAAGUCCGUCACACUAUCGAUCACUAUUUUGGUAUUUUAAAAGCUUGAAUUAUGAACCUAUGGCAUGUAUAGGCUAAUAUUUGUUUUGGUUGAUUUUGAAAUUGUUUAUAAAGCCAUGCGAAAAUGGCUAGAGAUGAUGCUUAUGUUUAUGCAUUUUCGGUCAUGGUAUAUGUGUGGUGUGUUUGGUAUUUGAGUUCGGUAUGAAGUAAUUAUAUAUAUAUGGCUUAUGAUCAGUUCACUUUGGUAAGCUUGAUAUAUGAUUGAUGGAUGAGUUUUGGUUGUGGUUUGUUAUUGGCUUAUUAUUGGAAUGUAUGAGUUGUAAUUUGAAUCGGUAUGAAAGUGGUAAAAGAUGUGCUUAUGUAUUCAGCUAAUGAUGAGUUAUAUAAAUACUUAUGCUUAUGACAUGGUUUAAUUAUUAAGUUGAUGGUUUCAUGCUUGGUACGAAAUGUGUUGAGUAUAUAGAUGGUGG